GAGAUAAUGUUAUCAUUUGAUUAUGAUGGAACAUAUUUAAUGAAUUGGCAAUAAUAGAUUAGGAGGGUUAGUGGUAUCCAAGAUGCUCUUCAAAACGGUCUUCUUAAUCGUGGGCCUUAGGCAGAUUCUGGCGCUGCCCACGGAACCAGAGUACACCAAGGUGGACCUUAUUGAAAAUGUCAUCAAGGGUGAUGCUGACUCCGAGCUUGACACUGAUAUGGCAAUGACUCGCAUCGUGUCAGGCUGGCAAGCGUACCCCGGGCAACAUCCUCACCAGAUCUACCUCCGCAUGGUCAAUGCGACUGGCACCAUGAGCGCCUGUGGUGGCUCUGUAGUCCACAAGAACUGGUUUAUCACUGCUGCCCACUGUACCGCACAACGAGUGCGUCUCCUGGUGCGCGCCGGUCUCGUCCACAUCUUGCAGCCUCAGUACGACUCCGAAACCACCGAGUGGUACAACUACCCCACCUUCAUCGAGGAAUUGGCCAGCACCGUCGUGCAGCCUAACGACAUUGCGAUCGCACAUGUUGACGAGCCUUUCACCUUCAGCCAUCUGCUGCAGCCCAUCAAGUUGCAGUCAUCAGCUGACGCGUACAGGGACUACUCCAACCAGCAAGUCAUCGCCAGCGGUUUCGGACGCACCUGGAGCAUGGGUGCAACGGCCGAGAAUCUACAGUGGGUGUACCUGAGCGGGGUGUCGAACUCGCUCUGUUUCUCCACUUUCGGAACCAUCAUCACCGACACCACCAUCUGCGCGAGGUUCUAUAACGUCACGUCCAGUCCACCUGCCAGGGUGACAGCGGCGGCCCCCUUGUCCACGUGGAUGACGAAGGAGUCCCAAUCCUUAUCGGAGUAGCGGCGUUCGUGGCUGGCGGCAACUCGGGCUGCCACGCCGGACAUCCUGCAGGUUUCACCCGCCUCGGACCCUUCCACAGCUGGUUCACAGAGAAGACUGGUAUUGACUUCGAUGCCCAAGAAGAAGACACCGAAGCCCCAACCGAACCCCCUACUGAACCCCCAACUGAACCCCCCACUGAACCUCCUAC
rnacentral:misc_RNA from 1 species